rnacentral:tRNA from 2 species
GGGCUCGUGGUCUAGUGGUAUGACGUCGCCUUCACACGGCGGAGGUCACCGGUUCGAAUCCGGUCGGGCCCA